GAUGAACGCUGGCGGCGUGCCUAAUACAUGCAAGUCGAGCGAACAGACGAGGAGCUUGCUCCUCUGACGUUAGCGGCGGACGGGUGAGUAACACGUGGAUAACCUACCUAUAAGACUGGGAUAACUUCGGGAAACCGGAGCUAAUACCGGAUAAUAUAUUGAACCGCAUGGUUCAAUAGUGAAAGACGGUUUUGCUGUCACUUAUAGAUGGAUCCGCGCCGCAUUAGCUAGUUGGUAAGGUAACGGCUUACCAAGGCGACGAUGCGUAGCCGACCUGAGAGGAUGAUCGGCCACACUGGAACGGAGACACGGUCCAGACUCCUACGGGAGGCAGCAGUGGGGAAUAUUCGGAAAGGGGCGAAAGCCUGACGGAGCAACGCCGCGUGGGUGAAGAAGGUCUUCGGAUGGUAAAGCUUUUUAAGUGGGGAGGAAGAGUAGUAAGUGAAAAUCUGCCUGUUUUGACGUUACCAAAAGAAAAAGCACCGGCUAACUUCGUG
rnacentral:rRNA from 1 species